UACUGUCUUAGUGGCGGACGGGUGAGUAACGCGUGGGCAACCUGCCCUGUACCGGGGGAUAACACUUAGAAAUAGGUGCUAAUACCGCAUAAUAGGGAAUACCGCAUGGUAAUCCUUUGAAAACUCCGGUGGUACAGGAUGGGCCCGCGUCUGAUUAGCCAGUUGGCGGGGUAACGGCCCACCAAAGCGACGAUCAGCAGCCGGCCUGAGAGGGUGGACGGCCACACUGGGACUGAGACACGGCCCAGACUCCUACGGGAGGCAGCAG
rnacentral:rRNA from 1 species